rnacentral:rRNA from 1 species
GACGAACGCUGGCGGCGUGCCUAAUACAUGCAAGUAGAACGCUGAAGGAGGAGCUUGCUCUUCUGGAUGAGUUGCGAACGGGUGAGUAACGCGUAGGUAACCUGCCUGGUAGCGGGGGAUAACUAUUGGAAACGAUAGCUAAUACCGCAUAACAGUAGAUGUUGCAUGACAUUUGCUUAAAAGGUGCAAUUGCAUCACUACCAGAUGGACCUGCGUUGUAUUAGCUAGUUGGUGGGGUAACGGCUCACCAAGGCGUCGAUACAUAGCCGACCUGAGAGGGUGAUCGGCCACACUGGGACUGAGACACGGCCCAGACUCCUGCGGGAGGCAGAAGUAGGGAAUCUUCGGCAAUGGACGGAAGUCUGACCGAGCAACGCCGCGUGAGUGAAGAAGGUUUUCGGAUCGUAAAGCUCUGUUGUAAGAGAAGAACGAGUGUGAGAGUGGAAAGUUCACACUGUGACGGUAUCUUACCAGAAAGGGACGGCUAACUACGUG